rnacentral:rRNA from 1 species
UACGGGGGGGGUAAGCGUUGUUCGGAAUUACUGGGCGUAAAGGGCUCGUAGGCGGCCAACUAAGUCAGACGUGAAAUCCCUCAGCUUAACUGGGGAACUGCGUCUGAUACUGGAUGGCUUGGAUUCGGGAGAGGAAUGCGGAAUUCCAGGUGUAGCGGUGAAAUGCGUAGAUAUCUGGAGGAACGCCGGUGGCGAAGGCGGCAUUCUGGACCGAUAUUGACGCUGAGGAGCGAAAGCCAGGGGAGCAAACAGG